AGUGAACGCUGGCGGUAGGCCUAACACAUGCAAGUCGAACGGCAGCACAGUAAGAGCUUGCUCUUACGGGUGGCGAGUGGCGGACGGGUGAGGAAUACAUCGGAAUCUACUUUUUCGUGGGGGAUAACGUAGGGAAACUUACGCUAAUACCGCAUACGACCUACGGGUGAAAGCAGGGGAUCUUCGGACCUUGCGCGAUUGAAUGGGCCGAUGUCGGAUUAGCUAGUUGGCGGGGUAAAGGCCCACCAAGGCGACGAUCCGUAGCUGGUCUGAGAGGAUGAUCAGCCACACUGGAACUGAGACACGGUCCAGACUCCUACGGGAGGCAGCAGUGGGGAAUAUUGGACAAUGGGCGCAAGCCUGAUCCAGCCAUACCGCGUGGGUGAAGAAGGCCUUCGGGUUGUAAAGACCUUUUGUUGGGAAAGAAAAGCAGCAGGUUAAUACCCCGCUGUUCUGACGGUACCUAAAGAAUAAGCACCGGCUAACUUCGUG
rnacentral:rRNA from 1 species